rnacentral:tRNA from 1 species
UAUGACAGAAUNAAAUGUAAUGGAUUUAAGACCCAUUUAUAAAGGAUUAAUCCUUUUUUUAGAAA